rnacentral:lncRNA from 1 species
CUUAAAACACCUAAUACUUUAUAAGAAUUCAAGUCCUUUAGCUCAAAUACAAAUAUAUCCAUGCACUAUUUGGACUUUUAGAGAACAGGAACACGUCAAUGUAUUUAAUUAAGGAGUUGCUUGUAAAGGCAAUGAAGUAAUCAGAUGAUAGAAAUCAAUUCAAUUCUAGGAAUUCUCAGGCAUUAUAUAGUUACUCUUUUUUGAAAUAUGAAGAUUCAGAUAUGGCUCUUCAACUUUUUUCGAUUUUUAUUUUUUUAUUGGUACAUAUUUGCAAUACAUCAUGUUUACAUUCUUCAUGGGGAGUCAGUGCAUGUACACAACACAGCUGAGCUCCUUCUUCUUCCCCUUCUCCUUUUUUUUUUUUUUUUUGUACCAGGAACUGAACUCAGGGACUUGUGCUUGCCAGGCAGGCGCCACAUGGCUGAACUACAUUCCUGAUCCAACACAGCUUAAUUCUUUCAUCUCCAUCUCUCCUCCCUCUCCUGUCCUUCCAUCUCUUGGUCUCUAUCUCCCUACUUCCUAUACCUAUCUUUUAUUUUGCUCUUUAUUUAUAUUGUGGGUUUCUCAUAUAAGAGAAACCAUACAACCUCCAACUUUUUUGUUUUGUUUUUACUACAUACUAAUAUGUUCUGAAGGUUUAAAAAAAGGAGAAAAAAAAAGAGAAAGCCAACAGUUUUACUGUACUUCAGCCCAAUCUUUGGUCAGUCGGCCAAAGUUGGUAACAUAAUCUGCCAGCUUCCAACAUCAACAGAUGCAAACUUUCACUUCUCCAAUGACUGUACUCCUUGAACAUUCAAACUAAUGAAAUUCAAUUUUAUCGUUUUUAGGUGAAUUCAAGGUUUGGGGACCAUGCUACCCCCCCCCAUUAUUUAAUUCCAAUUUACACUUUAUUACUUUAAACUUCCUUGUUCCUCCACAUGCACUGGCUAGGUUCCUUUAUACUGAGAAUGGGUCGACCAGAACAAUCGUCAACAUUAGUGGGUUCAGAAAGGUUCAUUCCUCUGGACACACACACACACACACACACACACACACACACACACACACUCACACACACAGCCUGCAGCACUUUCCCACGGAUUCGCCUAAGCGGCCUGAGGACCUCCUCUGGUGUCCCAGCCCGGACUCCCCAGGAGCGCGCCGCUCCGCACUUCCGGACCGCAUGGUCCGAGCCCCUGGGUCCCGGCGCCGCAGUGGGAGCCCCGCGCCUAGGUUCCGGUGGGAAGCUGCCAGAACCUGUUGUAGUCAGUGGUUUUAUCCCACUCCCUCCUAUUUUCAAAGGCCGCAGGCCCACGAACACCUUCCCCUGCCCAGAUUCCUCUCCCCAGUGGGCACUUUCCCCUCGCCGGGGCCCUGCCCGAAGGCCUCCGGAGCGCUUCGCGGGGAGGGAACGUGCGGCCACACCUACCUGCGCCAGUUGUCAGGAGCCGCUUGUGUCAAACCUUAACCAGCCACAAUAA